UUUUUUUGAGAUGCGACUUGGAGACUGUCUCAAUCUAAAAUCAUCUAACUUUCUCUCGCCUUAACACCCAGCCAUUAGCCAUAUAACCCAAUAAUUUUAGAUUUUCUAGUACAGAUAAAUAAGUAUAGCAGAUCCAAACAUUUGAUUUGGGGUUCUCACCUUCAACACUAUUUUUCUCUCAGAUGCGAUUUAGAUUGUAUAGCACAAGAAUACGAGAACCAAAUAUUUGAUUUAUGGUUUUCAUCUUCAACAACAUGUAGCUGAAUUCAUGGUCUGUUCCAGCAGUAAUCACCUACUCAUUCGCAUACUCACUCAACAACCAAAGCCCAAUUUUCCAGCUAUGGCCGAUGCUCAGCUCAAGUCUGACGACCUCAUGGACCAAAUGAAACUCCAGAGCAAAGGUAUCUAUGAAGGUGAAAAACUUGAUGCCACCUUUUCUUUCAAGGAUGAAGAUUUGUUAAGGUCUCCAUUGGCAAGUUGAACCCCCAGAUUGCUUUCAUGAGAUGGAUGCAGGGGUGCGAUGAAGAUAAAGGGCAAUCUCAGCGUGCCUUGAAAAUUUACUCCUGACAUUUUUCCCAAGUCUUCAAAAAUGUGAGAGUACACAAAACCAAUGAUUUAUGUGGGAGGGUGAUUUACUAAACAAUUAUUUCAAUUUUCUAUGAAUCUACGAUUUUGUAGAUUGAUACUAUUUCACACCCAUAUUAGGAAUUGAUAAUAAUCUGAAACCAUCCUUCAACACAUAUGGUAUUUGAUUGAAAGUUUUUACUCCUCAAGGAAUUUUAAAUUUAAUUUUCCUUUCCGAAUCAUUUCAAGUCUCUUUGAUUGAAAAUAUAAGCAUUCGAGGAUCUGUAAUUUUUUUAUGCA